ACCUUUCUUACACGCUCAUCUCAUAGUGGGAUUACAGCAAGUUGCACCUAAGCCUCAUAUCGCCAACACUGAACCGAGUUCUGCUUUUGUUGUUUUGGGAAAAUGAUUUGUGGAGCCGACAGAACCUAAUCUAAUCGAUACAUCGACUCUUUCCUCCUAAAAUAUGCUAAUAUGUGAUGGAAUCAUACACAAAUUCGAAGUGCAGCUUCGUCUGAAACCGAAAUUACAUCUGAUAUGGACGGAGAAUCAGCUGCCAUCAUCGCUUUCUUACGAAGCCCACCUUUUGCAAAAAUUGUGAGCGGGAUUAUAAAGUCCGAAACUGUAGCCCUACACUCUGAAAUUGGAGUAUGAUUUCACCUUAACCCACGAAAAAUGUAAUGAAGCAAAACCAGACGAUUAUAUUUGCAAUCUACCACAAAAAACAAGAUUAUCUCAAGAUGCACCAUGCGAAGUUCAACUUCUGAAAUUUACCCAAAAUUAUCAAGACUGUCAAGUCCUGCAAAUUCAAGUUAAUGACGUACAAAUUAAAGAAAAUUAACAAAAAUCAAUGUAUAGGAAUUUUUCCAACUGAACAACCAGUAACUUCAAUUUGUAAUCAAGAUGAAGAAUCUCAAUCAAUCAAAGGAAGUUAUGCAAUCGUCGUUCCUGUUGGAUGUAAACUUCGAAUCAACUGGACAACCCUUCAAGCUUAUCAAGACCCAGUUUAUCAGAAGAUAUCCGUUCAACUUCCAAAAAUCGAAACCUCAAAAUAAAUUACCAAAAAAAAGAUUUUCAUCUAGAACCUCUCCAAGUUGAAAAAAUCGACUUGAGCAAUCUUCAAUCCGUUUAUCAUCAAAUGCAACAAAUCCAACAAACCUUCGAAAAGAAGAUAGUGAAACAAUUUCCUAUAAUACAAGCAUUUAGACAAUUUUAAUUUAUGUUUUGUUAAUAGCUACCGCUCUUUAUUUACUUUGGACAAAAUGUCUUUAUCCCAAAAUUAUGAUGAGAAGAAUCAAGGAACAAGCAGCAAAUCAGCCCAUACCAUAAGCCAUUCCAAUUGAAAAUUUGGUGUCGCAAACCAUCCUCAAAUUUUCAAUCUAACGGGGGAGGUGUUAUGUUAUUUCCAUCCACGUGCCUAUGGAUCAGCAUAGAAGCUUCCAUAAGGAGACGUAAACAUCACGCGCUUUACCAUCAUCAAAAACCUUGCAGCCGUUGCAAUAAUUUAUAUUAUAAAUUCAGGAUAGAACAUACGCAUUGUAGUCUGUAGUCUGAAUUCAAAUCUGAAAUUAAAGUCUGGUUUUGUUAAGUUCAAGUUUUAAGUUUAGUUUUGUUAAUUAAGUCUUAGUCUCU